GCCUCUCCCCAGGGACAGUGAGGCUGCCUGGCGCCGAUCGGGCAAGACGGCCAGGCCGGGGGCUUCCACGCCCCGCCUGGCAGUGGGGUGCUCGGGACGGUUUCCGUCUUCACGCGUCUGCAAAGAAAGGUCACGAGCGAGGGGACGAGGUGCCCGGUGUGUCCCCCUGCAGGCAGCCGCGCCGGACCUGGAGGGCUGGGCAGGUGCCUGCCUUCCCCUGGCGCCCCUGCGAGACGAGAGUCCCACUUAUUUUUCCAUUGUUUUCUUGGAUGGAUCCUGGCAGGUCCCAGGGAAGUGUUGUGAGGUCUUUGUGAACCUCUUUGUUUAUCUGCCAUUCUACCCCCACACCCUGCGUGUACACACACACACACACACACACACACACACACACACACGGUCUUCAAGUUAACGGACUUAAAACAAAAACCAAGUGCUGUUGAUCAGUGCUGAUAAAGACCCUUGCCAGGGAGGAAGGGACCGCGGCUCCUCAGGGGCGGAUGCCGUGAGAACCAGGUGGCGCAGCGCGUCCCUCUGGGUCCUGUGCAGCCAGUGAUUUCAUCAGCCUGUGCAUUACGCGGCAACACCGCACAAGGGUGUGCAGAUGAGUCUCGAAGCUGAUACACGGCGUCCUCACACGCCCCUCACCUGGUGCCCCUGAACGUCAGCGACUGCCCUUCCCAGGCCACGUUUGUCAGAACCGAGACACCAGCCUGCAUCCUGAUACCAGUGCUCAAGUCCCAAUUUUGUCGCGAUUCCACCAGUUUGUCCCACUAACAUCCUUUUGUGUGUGUGUUGGGGGAGGCCGCUCUAGGAUCCCAUAGUCAAUGUGGUCGUCGUGUCUCCUGUUUCCCGUGACUUGACCAUCUCGAUGGAUCCCAGCCAGAAUCAAGCAAGCUGCCCACGUUGUCAUUCCUGUCCGCUCAGGGGAGAGAGAUGGCUAGUCCCGUGGAGCCCAGGGAGCGAGCAUAUGGAGACGGGGAUUCAGUAAAAACAUCUGGUGUGCUGGGAUCUGACGCUGGGAUAGAGCACCUUGCUCUCCGGUGGAGGGUUAUGUGAUUUCUGGAGAUUAAUAA